UCUCUUGACGUUAGCAACAGAAGAAGCACCGGCUAACUCCGUGCCAGCAGCCGCGGUAAUACGGAGGGUGCGAGCGUUAAUCGGAAUUACUGGGCGUAAAGCGCAUGCAGGUGGUUCAUUAAGUCAGAUGUGAAAGCCCGGGGCUCAACCUCGGAACUGCAUUUGAAACUGGUGAACUAGAGUACUGUAGAGGGGGGUAGAAUUUCAGGUGUAGCGGUGAAAUGCGUAGAGAUCUGAAGGAAUACCAGUGGCGAAGGCGGCCCCCUGGACAGAUACUGACACUCAGAUGCGAAAGCGUGGGGAGCAAACAGGAUUAGAUACCCUGGUAGUCCACGCCGUAAACGAUGUCUACUUGGAGGUUGUGGCCUUGAGCCGUGGCUUUCGGAGCUAACGCGUUAAGUAGACCGCCUGGGGAGUACGGUCGCAAGAUUAAAACUCAAAUGAAUUGACGGGGGCCCGCACAAGCGGUGGAGCAUGUGGUUUAAUUCGAUGCAACGCGAAGAACCUUACCUACUCUUGACAUCCAGAGAAGCCAGCGGAGACGCAGGUGUGCCUUCGGGA
rnacentral:rRNA from 1 species